CAGUCGCCGCGGGAAUACGUAGGGUGCGAGCGUUAAUCGGAAUUACUGGGCGUAAAGCGUGCGCAGGCGGUUUUGUAAGACAGGCGUGAAAUCCCCGGGCUCAACCUGGGAAUGGCGCUUGUGACUGCAAAGCUAGAGUGCGGCAGAGGGGGAUGGAAUUCCGCGUGUAGCAGUGAAAUGCGUAGAUAUGCGGAGGAACACCGAUGGCGAAGGCAAUCCCCUGGGCCUGCACUGACGCUCAUGCACGAAAGCGUGGGGAGCAAACAGGAUUAGAUACCCCCGUAGUCCCUGUCUCUUAUAA
rnacentral:rRNA from 1 species